rnacentral:rRNA from 1 species
CAGUCGCCGCGGUAAUACAGAGGGUGCGAGCGUUAAUCGGAUUUACUGGGCGUAAAGCGUGCGUAGGCGGCUUCUUAAGUCGGAUGUGAAAUCCCUGAGCUUAACUUAGGAAUUGCAUUCGAUACUGGGAAGCUAGAGUAUGGGAGAGGAUGGUAGAAUUCCAGGUGUAGCGGUGAAAUGCGUAGAGAUCUGGAGGAAUACCGAUGGCGAAGGCAGCCAUCUGGCCUAAUACUGACGCUGAGGUACGAAAGCAUGGGGAGCAAACAGGAUUGAUACCCGUGUAGUCCCUGUCUCUUAUACU